GACCAAAGAGGGGGACCUUCGGGCCUCUUGCCAUCGGAUGUGCCCAGAUGGGAUUAGCUAGUAGGUGGGGUAACGGCUCACCUAGGCGACGAUCCCUAGCUGGUCUGAGAGGAUGACCAGCCACACUGGAACUGAGACACGGUCCAGACUCCUACGGGAGGCAGCAGUGGGGAAUAUUGCACAAUGGGCGCAAGCCUGAUGCAGCCAUGCCGCGUGUAUGAAGAAGGCCUUCGGGUUGUAAAGUACUUUCAGCGGGGAGGAA
rnacentral:rRNA from 1 species